rnacentral:lncRNA from 1 species
GAACUUCUGGUAUAUGAUAAAAAAUAAUUUAAGAUUUGAGUAGGGUUACUAUACUCUUAUGAGUAUUGGACCCUUCAUACUCAUAAGUUGUUUUCGAUGAUGGGACUUCCGAAUCGACGAUCCACUCCGUUAAAUAUGAUCUACAGUAUUUGAAACUUCUAAAAAAUAAAUUUCGUAAUUUUUUGAAAUCAUAAUAAAGUCUAUCAAACGGGCAUAAAAUGAACGGUCAAAAUCGAACGACAUCCUAAAAAUGGAUGAUCGGAUUCUUCAAUUUAAGAUCGAAAUUAUUGAUCUUUAUGUAGGUAGUGAAUAGAAUUUUCUAUCAAAAAUUCAACCGAUUCCGAUUCUUUUACACCGUUAAACUAGCAAGUAUCCCAUAUCGGCCGCUAAAAAUUGUCAAUUUUGUGAGUUUUUGAUCGUAAGGCAAAUGAUGUCAAAAAAUUAUGAAAUUUGAUUUCUGAAAGUUUUAAAUACUCUAGAUAAUAUUUAACGGUACGGAUCGUCGAUUCGAAAACUCUAUCAUCGAAAACGACUUAUGAGUACGAGGACGAUCGUACUCAUAAGAGUAUAGUAGCCGGACUCUUAAGAUAUAAUUAAUUAAGGCUAAAAUGUAGAUAAGCCUUCUCUAAAUAUCCUGUUUUGCACUUUCUGCCCUUAUCUUUUUAAAAAUUCUCUAUUUUACUCCCUUACAAUUUAAAGUUGUAACACUUUGUCCAACACCAUUAUUACUUCGGCANUUUUUUUUAUAUAAUUUAACAUGAUAUCAAAAUAGAAAAUUUUAAGUUCAAAUCCGCUCAUAAUGUUAUUUAAUUUUCUCUCAUUCAAUAAAAUUCACAUUUCGAACUUGUCACGAAAUCGCAAAUCAAGAUAUAAGAAAAAGUAUAGAUUAUAAAUAUUAAAAAAUACUGUUAUGCAUGCAAUACAAAAAAAAUAUGCCCUUAGUCUGUGUGUGCACGUGACAAGCUAUAAUUUAUUACAUGCACCACAGUGUGUAUAAUACAUCAAGAUCUUCAAAAGUCACAAGAGGCCUUGAAAUCUAUAUCAAAACCAAUAUGAAUUUUCCCAUUACCCUUGAGGUCUUACUGUCUCACCCAUAUAUCUUAAUUUAUCAUCUGAAUGAAUGAAGUGGGUAGCGAACUAUCUUUUUUUCAAAAAAAAAUAAAAGAAGCAAAGAGUGAUCGAUUUAAUUUUAACACUAUUAACUUUUGCAAUUAUUUAAUGUGCAGAUAUUAGACUUUAAAAAAUUAUAAUAUGUGAUAAACAAAUUAUUUAGAGGUUGAGAGAAAAAUAGCAUGCUAUCUCUUAAUUUUGUUUCUUUUUUGGAAAUAAAUUUAGCUAAAAAUAUAAAAAAACUAAGAUUCAAACUUAAAAUCACGGAUAUCAACUAACAAGUCCUUAACAAACUAUGCUAAAUACAAUCAGUGAGUUCUAAUAUUCAUUUGGAUAAAGCACUUUGCUCCUAAGUUUUCGAAAAGAAAAGUAACCUAUUGGAUUAUAUGAUUCAUAAACAUUUAUAUAAGGCUAAUCCUAAAUUUCACGCACUACCAAAUUAAUAAUCUAUAACUAAAAUUCUUAAAUAAGUACUAUUUUUUUGACCCAUAAGUUUGGCCAGUGCUCUUCUAAUCCUCCUCUAGACGAUAACAAAUUCAGUAGAGUGUUUGGCAAAUAGAACAGUCGAGAACUUUUGCCGUGGAAGGAACUAGAAUUAAAAUUUGCAGUCUCUACUCUCUGUAAGGAAAGGAAAGUGUGGCAUAAGCAAAAAACACAAACAUCGAUCAUCGUAUAUAUUCUCCAAUCUAAUUUUGAACUUCUGGUAUACUGAAAAAAAUAAUUUAAGAUUUGAGUAGGGCUACUAUACUCUUAUGAGUAUUAGACCCUUCGUACUCAUAAGUUGUUUUCGAUGAUGGGACUUCCGAAUCGACGAUCCACUCCGUUAAAUAUGAUCUACAGUAUUUGAAACUUCUAAAAAAUAAAUUUCGUAAUUUUUCGAAAUCAUAAUAAAAUCUAUCAAACGGGCAUAAAAUGAACGGUCAAAAUCGAACGACGUCCUAAAAAUGGAUGAUCGAAUUCUUCAAUUUAAGAUCGGAAUUAUUGAUCUUUAUCUAGAUAGUGAAUAGAAUUUUCUAUCAAAAAUUCAACAUAUUCCAAUUCUUUUACACCGUUAAACUAACAAGUAUCCCAUAUCGGCCGUUAAAAAUUAUCAAUUUUGUGAGUUUUUUAUCGUAAGGUAAAUAAUGUUAAAAAAUUAUGAAAUUUGAUUUCUGAAAGUUUUAAAUGCUCUAGAUAAUAUUUAACGGUACGGAUCGUCGAUUCGAAAGCUCUAUCAUCGAAAACGACUUAUGAGUACGAGGGCGAUCGCACUCGUAAGAGUAUAGUAGCCGGACUCUUAAGA